rnacentral:tRNA from 1 species
GCGAGAUUAGUUUAGUGGCAGAAUGACUGCUUCCCAAGCAGUAGACACGAGUUCGAUUCUCGUAUCUCGCA